GGAAGGUUCUUAUGAAAGAGGCUUCACUCUGCACUCAGCUUUCUUGUCCUUCUAUCUCUGCUUUGUGAGGACACCGUAUCCUUCUCCUACAAAGAAUGCAGCAACCAAGUAUCUUGGAAUCAGAGAGCAGCCCUGACCAGAUAACCAAACACGCCAGUGCCUUGACUUUGAACUUUGCAGCCUCCAGAACUCACAUACAAUAAAAUUUGCAAUGUACAGGGAAGAUUAACUGACCCGCUGCACGAAGAUGACACACAAAUUUAUGAAGAUGGUUCUUUUUAUUUUCCUUAAAUUUUAGAGGGCUAAAUUGGAUUAAAAGAAUUGAAGAGGUAGAAGAGACAAAAAAAGGAGUCUUGUGAAGACAUAGUGAAAAGACAGCUGUCUGAAAGCCAGAGAAACAGUCCUCAUGGGGCAAUUGAAUCAUCUAACACCUUGAUCUUGGAGUUCUCAUCCUCCAGAACUCUCUGUGAUAAUUUAUCAGUUUUUACCUGUAAGCAGUAUUUGGAA
rnacentral:snRNA from 10 species